CGGUUGAAUAUUGUUCGAGCGAAACCCCUAUCGCCAGUUGCCAGCAUUCAGUUGGGGACUCUGGCGAGACUGCCGGUGUUAAACCGGAGGAAGGUGGGGAUGACGUCAAGUCAUCAUGGCGCUUAUGCCCAGGGCUGCACACGUGCUCAAUGCGGCAUACAAAGGGAAGCGAACCCGCGAGGGGGAGCCAAUCCCAAAAAGCGUCGCUCAGUUCGGAUUGCAGGCUGCAACUGCCUGAAUGAAAGCUGGGAAUCGCUAGUAAUCGCGGAUCAGCUACGCCGCGGUGAAUGUGUUCCCGCCUUGUACACACCCGSCCGU
rnacentral:rRNA from 1 species